AUUCGUCCAGCCGCGCGGCCCACAGAAGCGGAACGCGCGUCGAGAGCGCCCUGUCCGCUCGCCCCAGACAGAUGCCCGGUUAUUCAUUACCGCGAGGCCUAGAGGAAAGAGUGGCUGCCGUCUUCCUGCCCACAGCCCGCCGGACCCUCCGUCGCGGCUGCCCGGUCCCCGGAGCCGCAGCCGCCGAGCCCGGCUGUGCGUGUCGUGGCUGCUGGGGAGAAAGAGGCUUCCGGACAUGCUCUGGAGUCAGAAGACAGCGAAAAGAGAAGCAGAAGCCCCGGUGGCAAGAGUCUGAAGCAGGAAGGAUGACUGUAGCCUGUGGAUUGUACUGCAGUAGGAAACUGUCCUAGCAAGGCUCCACUUUGCCCCAGCUUCAAGCUGGAAAGGAGGAGAACAUGAAACAUUGCUUGAAGACAAUGGCCGAGACAGCAGGUCCCACCCUGCACAGCCACCAGCAUCUCUCCCCUCAGCCCUGUCUCCUCUUCUGCAGUUGGGAUCUGCACAUUUAAGCCUGAAAUUGUCCUGUGAAGUGAAGUAUGAUCGGACAGCCUCUUUUCAGCUUUUAUGACAAUGGAGACAGAGGAAUUGUGGCUCUUGCCAAGGUCACAGGAUUGGAAUACAGAGCCAAGCCACCCCAGGACAUGCAAGAGCCUCAGAAGGGAAAAAAGCCCAGCAGGAAGGGAGAACAAGUAGCCUCUGUCCUGAAGUUGUAACAGCCAGGGGCCAGGAUGGAGGAGGAGGACCCCAUAAUCUGCCCAUCUGGGACUUGGCAGGGGACCUGGGAAAAUGUACCCCAACCCAUCCCUUAAGGGCCUUUGUCUUUGGCCCAUUGGCCUAGCAUCUACUUCUUCACCGUGUCUGUUCUUGUCACACCUAGUCAGGUCUGUUUGGGUCUGAGGUGCAUGGAACAUUCUGGGUAGGCCUCCAGCAAACGGAAGCUCUUCACCGUGUUUCCAGCCUGGGACCAAGGGCAGCAUACUGGCAAAGUUGCCAAAGCAAGGGACUCCAGCCUCUUAGGAGUUAAUGACUCCCUCUCCCCAGCUGUCCUCCCCUUGGUGCUCCUCUUCCUCCCUCCUCCUGCUCACAGCAGGCAGGGCCUAGACCCGGGAGCCAUGCUGCUGUG
rnacentral:lncRNA from 1 species